UACGGAGGAUCCGAGCGUUAUCCGGAUUUAUUGGGUUUAAAGGGAGCGUAGGCAGGUCUUUAAGCGUGCCGUGAAAUUUUGUGGCUCAACCAUGAGAGUGCGGCGCGAACUGGAGACCUUGAGUGCGCGGAAGGCAGGCGGAAUUCGUGGUGUAGCGGUGAAAUGCUUAGAUAUCACGAAGAACCCCGAUUGCGAAGGCAGCCUGCCGGUGCACAACUGACGCUCAGGCACGAAAGCGUGGGUAUCGAACAGG
rnacentral:rRNA from 1 species